CAAGACUUUUUUUUUUUUUUUUUUCAAGGACAAAACCUCUCCUGUGUUCACUUUGCUGUAAGCAAUCCAUCUUUGUGUUUGAAUGAAGUAAGAGAAACAUGACUUGGGUUUUACACAAAAAUUAUUUUAAUUUGAGUGAUGUUUCAUCUUCUAAGUAGGGUCUUUCAUAGUGUUUUCUUGAGAGAUCUUAUAUAAUACAGACGUUACUUCAUAAAAGAAGAAUGAAUGUUGUAAUGUUAUGUCAUGUGUGUUAACACAGUGUGUAAAUAAAUUCGCUUAUGAAUCUGGC